ensembl:lncRNA
UUUAAGGGGUGACUGCCACUGGGGAAGUAUCUCUUUCUGGAGAUCCCUCCCUCUGGAGUUUUCUGCUGUGAGCCUAGGACACGGGCUCUUACUUCUCAACUAUUGAAUAAAAUAAUAAAGUUCCAUGGUAGAAGAAGCUGCCUCGGUGUAAUCUUUCAUCAUCAUCCAAUUUGCUACUUUUCUUCCCAACGUGGUUUUCAGAAGUGCUGACAAAGAACAGCUUGGUUACAAAGCUCCUUCCCAGGAUCAUGUCUGUGAGCAUGCUGCUGUUGUUGGCCCUGGUAUGUUGAUCUGCACGUGCCUUAAGGAGUUAAACUUCUCAAGGGUAACUUCCCUUCAAGACUGUACCUGAAUAGCUUUCUUCUACCUGCCUCUUUCACAACUUGCAGAUCUGAAUGGCUUGUUUUGAAGUCACAAAGCUUCUCCGUAUUCUGUGAGGAGCUAUGAACAUAAUUCCUCUGUGAAACUAUGCAGAUUGCUGAAGUGCUGUAAUCUUUCAGAAAACAGUGAAAUUUUGCUUUGGAAGUUCACUCCUGUUUGCUUGUAAGUUGCCAGUUCCAAAAAGACUUCAGUGUGCAUGUGCCCUCAUCAUCCUUUCAUCCCACCAGAUGGAAUGUGUUUGGGAUUUACAGCUGCUAAUUGGAUAAUUAUUGCAUUGUGAAGCUGCAGAGAAGGGUUAAUCCAAGACUUAUAAAAGAGAAAACAAAGAAAUCAGAGGGAAACCAUUUUUCUUUGUUUGUCAUCUCCUUCCUUUGUAGUAUCACUAUCUAAAAAAAGUUUUUCCAAGAGUAAAGCAAGCAGCUUUGCAAGCUCCUUGAUUCUUAAGGAUAGCAAUUAGGUUUUUUUUCUUGAGUACUGUCACGAGUAUAAUUACACUGUCAAGAGUUCACGUAUGUUCCUCCUGUUGCCAUGUGGUUCUGUUUCAGCUAUCUGAUUUUCACCUCUUAUGGGAUCUGCAACCCUUUUACAGUUGUAACGUUGCUACCAGCCCCAAAUAGUUGUGGUGUCCAACCCAUGGCUGCACAAACACCUGCCCACCACUGCCACUUUGUGCCAAAUGGAUGAACGCAACAGUCCUGUUCCCCAGAGGCUCCUGGCUUCUGCUUUGUAACAGGUGGUGGCACAGCGGGAUCUGAGCCAAGGAAUGUCACCAGAAAUUGAAAGUGGGAGAGGGAAGGGAGAAGAAGCUAUGUGAGAUUGUAAAGCAAAGAAAUAAAUACAUAGAUAAAACAU